GGCGCCCUUAAUAACAUUUUCUUUUCUCUAGCUUAGUUUACUAGAAGAACACAGUAUAGAAUACACAUAACAUACAAAAUAUGUGUUAAUCCACUGUUUGUGUUAUCAGUAAGUCUUCCUUCUGGUCAUCAGUAGGCUAUUAGUAGUUAAGUUUUAGGGGAGCUGAAAGUAAUACGGAUUUUUUGCUGCACAAGGUGUCAGCACCCCUAACCUCUUCAUUGUUGGAGGAUCAACUGUAGUUGCCACGUCUCUUUCAUUCAUUCGGUCUCCCUCACAUAGAACCUGAUAAAGAUCCUAUUACUGAAGGCUUGCCUGUUUCUCUUCAAUCUUCAAGUCUGGAAUCGAUGUUCAAAGAACUAAAAUCUUUGAGCGGGAGGAAACUGUGGCAUCAUCUGGCACCGUGUAAAUGCUACGCAGCAGGUAGGCAUGGCCACAUGACCAAGUUCCGGCAAAGGGGAGGUGAGCAAAAGCCCUAAGUGCACCUUGUGCCUUUUCUCCCCCCGCUGUUGGGAAUGAGCGUCUGCCUGUGAGCCAUCGUGGAGCACGUAAAGGAGGCCCCCUAGGAUGGCAGAGCAACACAGAAGCCUGAACUCCUGACAGCUUUGCAAGAGCAAGCCUGGCACACCAUCGGAGGUGCAGAUACCACAUUCCAGGGGCAGCAUUCCGCUAAACUGAUGGUCUGUAACAGCAACGGGAGUCCUUAGAUGCAAGCACACGGGACCAUUCAGGGAAGAGAUUGUUGUCAUCUCUGUAGUUAGAGGAUUUGUAUCCCGAUACCUGUUCACCUGUUCGGGCAAUGGAUGGGUGUGUCUAUAAAAAUAUUUGCGGGAA